UACGGAGGGUGCGAGCGUUGUCCGGAAUCACUGGGCGUAAAGGGCGCGUAGGCGGCGCGGGAAGUCCGUGGUGAAAUCUUUCGGCUCAACCGGAAAAGUGCCUCGGAUACUGGUUCACUCGAGGGAGGUAGGGGCCCGCGGAACUUCCGGCGGAGCGGUGAAAUGCGUUGAUAUCGGAAGGAACGCCGGUGGCGAAAGCGGCGGGCUGGCCCUCUUCUGACGCUGAGGCGCGAAAGCCAGGGGAGCGAACGGG
rnacentral:rRNA from 1 species